rnacentral:rRNA from 1 species
AUUGAACGCUGGUGGCAUGCCUUACACAUGCAAGUCGAACGGCAGCAUAGGAGCUUGCUCCUGAUGGCGAGUGGCGAACGGGUGAGUAAUAUAUCGGAACGUGCCCUAGAGUGGGGGAUAACUAGUCGAAAGACUAGCUAAUACCGCAUACGAUCUACGUAUGAAAGUGGGGGAUCGCAAGACCUCAUGCUCCUGGAGCGGCCGAUAUCUGAUUAGCUAGUUGGUGGGGUGAAAGCCUACCAAGGCAACGAUCAGUAGCUGGUCUGAGAGGACGACCAGCCACACUGGGACUGAGACACGGCCCAGACGCCUACGGGAGGCAGCAGUGGGGAAUUUUGGACAAUGGGGGCAACCCUGAUCCAGCAAUGCCGCGUGAGUGAAGAAGGCCUUCGGGUUGUAAAGCUCUUUUGUCAGGGAAGAAACGGCAGUAGCGAAUAACUACUACUAAUGACGGUACCUGAAGAAUAAGCACCGGCUAACUACGUGCCAGCCGCCGCGGUAA